AAAACGGCCCUUUUCAGGGCCACCACAUUCAAAUUGUGCUCUACAU
rfam:Macrostomum lignano uti_cns_0001394, whole genome shotgun sequence.